CCUACGGGAGGCAGCAGUGAGGAAUAUUGGUCAAUGGACGAGAGUCUGAACCAGCCAAGUAGCGUGAAGGAUGACUGCCCUAUGGGUUGUAAACUUCUUUUAUAUGGGAAUAAAACGUUCCACGUGUGGGAUUUUGUAUGUACCAUAUGAAUAAGGAUCGGCUAACUCCGUGCCAGCAGCCGCGGUAAUACGGAGGAUCCGAGCGUUAUCCGGAUUUAUUGGGUUUAAAGGGAGCGUAGGUGGAUUGUUAAGUCAGUUGUGAAAGUUUGCGGCUCAACCGUAAAAUUGCAGUUGAAACUGGCAGUCUUGAGUACAGUAGAGGUGGGCGGAAUUCGAGGUGUAGCGGUGAAAUGCUUAGAUAUCACGAAGAACUCCGAUGGCGAAGGCAGUUCACUGGACUGCAACUGACACUGAGGCUCGAAAGUGUGGGUAUCAAACAGGAUUAGAUACCCCAGUAGUC
rnacentral:rRNA from 1 species